UCGUACAUCACUACAAGGCUGACCAUGCAUGGACACAAUCCAGGAGCCCAAAGAAGUUUGUAUCUAUAUUUGUGACUAUGUCUAAAUAUCCUAGACACCCAGGAAUCUUCUGCAAUGGUUGCACACAUGUUCCAAAAGAUCACUCAUGCCAUGCUUGCAUUCUCAAAAACUCUCUUGAUCCGGUCACUCGUCAGCAACUACUUAUGCCAAUAUUCCAUCAAGAAUCAUUGCUAAGUCUAAGAUGCAACCCGAGAGCUGGUUGACCUAGGAAUGUUUUGGAUCGUGAACAUGGAUCUGGGUGUAGGCCUGUUGAAGAAUACUGUGGGCGUGUCUGUCCUCUUCCUGCUUCCGGCUGGGAACUUGGUGGCGAUGGAUCUCAGAUGGGUGCCAUUGGAGGGUGGCUUUGAGGAAUCUAACAGAAGGGGAUCGCCAUUCUCCUUGAGGAGCAGCUUUGCAGACCGCCUGGGGAGGGCUUUGCUUGGAUGAAAUGCUGCUGAAGGGGUGUCGAAGACGGUGUUGGAAUUGGAAGAGCACAAGGGUUCAGAUUCAGAGUCGCUGUGGAUUGGAGAUGAAGGAGAAGGGUGCCGCCUGUGCACGGACUGGGAUCGCUGCUGCUGCUGCUGUCUGAUAUCGAGGGGAUGAUGAGGAUGCUUAGGAAGGGGAGGAGGGCAUUUGGA